rnacentral:sRNA from 1 species
AUGGCCACUGGAAUAAAUUUAAAGAAGUUUAGUGGUAGUGAAAAUGUCCACUUGUGGCUGUCCCACUUAGACAGUUGGCAGAAAUUUCACAACGUGACAGACGGUGCAGCACUUUUAGCAAUUGGAUGCAGUUUAGACGGCCAAGCUGAAACCUGGCUACAAACAUUGUCACCACGACAGAGAAACAAUUUAACCGAGUUCAAAGAGUGCCUAAAAAACCGAUUCGCCCCUCAAGAAACAAACUUUACCCUCUUGUCCAUUAGACAACAAGCAGGAGAAACUGCUGAUGUGUACUUGUCUAGGGCAGAGAAAACCGCCCUUGGCCAUGAUUUGCCAGAGAUAUACAAGGUCCAAUUCGCCAUCCAAGGACUGGAGAACCAGGUGAAGGCAAAGGUUAUAUCCAAAGAGCCGAAAACAUUUCAGGAACUACGCCAUGCAGUGUCCCUAGCUAAAGCACAACUAGAAUGCAACACCACAGAAGACAUGAACAAUUUAACCCUGGUAGCAUUAGCUGCUCAGCUGAAGGACUCCUUGAAAGCUGAAAUUAGUGCCUUAACACAGAGUAAUUGUCAAUCAAAGAACGGUCAGCCAGAACCAUGGAGCAAACCACCCAACCCCCAUCCUCAGUGGCAGCAAUUCGCACCCCCACCACCCGGAUACAGUGUGCCAGUGUGCCAAACAAACUUUGCAGUGCCACCUACCUCCUAUCAACAGCAGCCCCCAGUGCAACCCCAGGUCCAGCCAUCAGCUCAGCAGUGGCCCCAAGCAACCAACAAUGGACCCCAAGUGAGACAGUACCAGAGAGCAAGUCGAGUGUGCAAGGGAUGUGGGAUAGACAAGAGUUCAAUUCAAUCAACUAAUGCAACUGAUGCGGUCGCUGUUGGCGGUGAAGUUCAUCGCAGUCUUGGUGUUCUAUCCUUGCCAAUUUCUUUUGAUGGUUUUGUUUUUACACAUGAUUUUCAGGUUUAUGACAAAUUCCAUCAACCUCUUAUUUUGGGCUUAGAUUUUUUAAGAGCAAAUGAUGCUGUUCUUAGCAUUGCACAGAACACUCUCUCUCUUAAGGACCCUAUUUCUAACCAUGUCCUUGCAAUUGACGUUAAUUCAGGUCUUGCUAGAGUUUGUCAAACAGUCACUGUCAACCCAGGGUGUGUCAUGGCAAUUGAGGUAUUUAUCUCAAGUUCAUUAAAAGGUGCUCAUGUUCUGUUGGAACCUUCACAACAACUUCCCAAGUUAGGCCUUGCAGGAGCCAAAUGCUUAGUUGAUACCCUAAACAACGAGAUUCAUUAUAUGCAAGUCAUCAAUCCUACAACUGACCCAAUUACUUUGUCAGCAAAUACAUGCAUUGCAUCUGCCACAGUUGUUAAUCCUGAUACUGUACUAUCUCUAGACAACCCAAAACCAUCCAAUACAGACUCUGAUCCCAAACCACCACAAGAAGAAACUACCCACAACCACCCAAGAAAGCUGAAGAACCAGAGGAUGUCAUACCCAGUACUGCUACAGUAUCCGUCCUUUCUACUCCAUCUGAACACAAUCAAGCGACUUUCUUCUAUAAAAAUGAAAACUGUGGAUCUCAGCAAUCUAAACACCAAACACAAUCAAACACUCAAACCCUACAAUGACCCAGAUCAUCGUCCAAGUUUUGACCCACCCCGUCCAGAUGAACCCAUUGAUGAUGCCCAUUAUCCCCCAGACCCUGUAAUCCCGCAACCUCCAGAUACACCAAUUGAUGCUACUCAUCAACCCCCAGAAACUGCACCCGUGCAACAAACCAUACAAGUACAAGAGGAGCCAAAGUUACCUCCUACUCAAACUGCUGACAAUCCAUCACCUCACCCGCAGCGUUUACCUGCUCAAUGUUCAUCAGACUCCUCAGUACAGACACAGGACGUCUCUGAUAAAACUUAUUUUGUUGACAAACUACUGCGCUACAAGUUUGUCAAAGGCAAGAAGCUAUUCCGAGUCAAAUGGCUAGGAUACGGCGAACGAACAUGGGAACCUGAAGAAAAUCUUCCUCCCUGUUUGGUUCGCAAGUUUCAUAUUACCAAAACACAACAGGGUACCCCAGGACUUCCGCCUACAUUGUUCCUCAUUUGUCUUGUCUCCCUUCUUGGAGUUGUGCCUAUUGGUAAUGCUGCCACAUACCAACGUUUAAAUUAUGGUGUCCUAUUUGAACAACAACAGCAGCUUUAUCUUGGACAGGAGUAUUGGUCGCAUACUUUCCAAAUUCCCCUGCCCAAGAAAGUGUAUUUACACAGAGAGCUGUAUUGCAACAACGCCCCUCAUUGUAAGUACGGCAAACAUGUGAUCAAAACACUCAAUGCACUGCGGACCCAAACCAUGGCAAACCUAAAUGCUACCGUACAUGAUAUUCACAUGCUGAUUCCACAAAGUCACCUUCCAAGACCUAAAUCCUUCAUCGGCUCAUCUAGAUCUAGAUCCAAGCGCGGCAUUUUUGACUUUGUAGGACAAAUUUCAAAAUCCCUUUUUGGAACAGCAACUUCUGAUGAUAUAGCUACAUUGCAACGACACAUGCAAACUCUAAACAGAAACAAUGCCCAAAUUGCUCACACCAUGGCCAUUCAAGAGAAACAUCUUUCUUCUUUUAUAUCUACUGUUGAUGCCAGGUUUAAUAAUAUAGUAAGUGCGGUAAAGAAAAAUCAUCAAGACACAGUAGCUCUCACAGACCUUUUACACAGCUCAGUUGACUCUGUAGAACAUGAGUUUAUAUUAUUAGAACAGCUCAUCAUGAAACAAACGAAUGCAUCAGCUCAUUUACAACAGGCUUUAGAUCGUGUCAAACUCAGCAUACAUGAACUCAUCAAAGGAAAACUCUCACCUUAUUUGAUCACCCCUCAGGCAAUAACAUCGUCCCUUCACCAGAUCCAAAGCAUUAUGGACAAAAAAAAACUGACAACUAUUAUUACACUAACACAACUUCCUAACUCUGCUAAAGCUUUACCUACCCCUCACCCUGAUUUAUUAUCCUUAUAUUCUAACCCUUCCCAAACUGACAACCAAGUAACAACUCUUCAAAAUGUUUACACCUCGUUCACAUCUCCUUGGCCCUAUGUUACACUGUCUGUCCUAACAACACUGCUUAUUUGCUUUUAUAUGCAAAAACUAUGGAAAAAGUUCAAACGCACGCACAAAACCACUCUUCACCUAGAAAUCACAACAGGAACUGAAUGCAUGCUCUUUCCAAUCACUACUCUUCCACUUUGCCCAGACAACUGGAACAUAACCCCACCACAGGUCAUCAACAACAUCAUACUUCAAAGAACAUACCUCGGCUGGGCUAAUUUCACAAUCAAUGCAUCAGAUCUCACCAUACAAAACAAACAUACCAACACCAUACUCAACAUACCAAACACAUUCCGACUUUCACCACUUAAAGCACUGAGACUACGUCGUCUGUUACAACAACCAUAUACUGCAUACUACCUUUUGUCCCAUCAUCAGUAUUAUCAAUUGCUUCAGUAAAAAUUUAAUUAGAAAUUCCUAUAUAGAUCUAGGAUAUCAAAACUUGCCAUUGGUAUGAGAGUUGCAUACUGAGUCUGAUUUGUUUUUAACAGUGUAAAUAUUGUAUUCUGGUAAAUUUUUACCAUAAUGGUUGAUGCAUAUGUAUCACUUCCAUUGUACUCGGUACAUGUAUUUACAUGUGCUCACAUGUCUAUGAGUUUCUACAUGUACUUUUGUAUAUAUAAUUACAUCUUGCUAAUUAACCAAGAUAUUCUACCAGAUUUUUGUGUUUGACAUUGAUUGCAAUGAUCUCUAAUUUCAAUAUUUCAUAUCAUGUUUUCCUUAUACAUUUUUUAUUUUAUUCAACAAUGUUUGUAUUAGAGUACCUAGUUUAGUUAUUUUUCUUUAGGGUAGUAUUUUUCUACAUUUUAGGAUGUCAACACUAGUUUUUGUUGAUUUUAUAUUUUUUGGUUUUGUAUGCAUACAAUUUUUUUAUCUUCGGGGACAAAGAUUUCCGAACCAGGAGGGAUUUAUCAUCAGGUCUCAUUGACCCUCUGAUAUUAUUUUUAUUAUAUAUAAUUUUAAUGUAAUAUAUCAUUUCUCAAACUUAUUCAAAAACAGUUCUUUUUGGUUAAAUGCUUUUUACUACUUUUAAUUACUACAAUUCUUGACUACCGG